CCUCUUGCAACUAGUGAAGUGUCAAAGUCUGUCAACACUUGAAUAUUUUGAUAAUGGAUCCCCAGAGAUAGCCGUCUAUCAAUACACCAUGAACAGUGGCAGUACUGCAGAAGUUUUCCAUAACGGCGAUAGCAACGUUGCAGCUGCUGAGACAGUAUGGCGAGUCAUAAACAAUCCUCUCGUGGCAAUAUUGUCCGAUCUCAAAGACCCCACGGCAGAGAGAACGAUCCAAGUAAUCUUGGAUUCCAUUUUACGGGGGUCUGCAAACCUGACUAAUAUUUUAGUACCUCCUCAAGGAGUUGGAGAAAACUAUGACAACAUUCAGAAACAAUACACAGCUUUUACAACAUGGCUUUUUGGAACCAUGUUUUACAUAUCCAGCGCGCCAUUCGGUAAAGAAGUUCUGGCUAGCAGUUUGGAAGUUCAGACUUGUAUGCUGCGCAUAUUGGCACGACAUUAUAUUGUUAAUUUUGAUGUAGUAUCUUCUGAACUAAUAGAUAUUCUUUAUGAAAUAUUAGUGUUCGAAGAAACUUGCACACCUGGUGAACACAUAAGGCUUGCAAAGUUUCACACUGAACCCGGUGUCAUUCAAAACUUAGAACUUGUAUCCUCACCUCUAUGUAUACAAGAAAACAGACUGCAUUUGAUACAGAUUUCCAUAACAAAGGUGAUCCUUGAAACUGGUGUUGCUUUGUGGAACCAGACAAGGUUGUGGGAUAUCAGCCUUAAAAUGAUGGUGAAUUCUGCUCCAGACAUUAAAUUUAUGGCACUUGAAAUUUUCACGCAGAUUAUUGAGCGGUCGAUAAUAACACCUACGGAACAAUACGAAGUUAUCAUGCGAAUCACAGAAAUUGUUAAACUAAUUCCUACCUGGAAAAGUCUCGGCAAAUUAUCGCCUGAAGUGGAUACAAAUUGGGUAGAAAAGUUUAUCAAUUUCAUCGGCGUCAUUGAUUGCUCUCCAUCUGUAACAAGUCUGUGCUUUGACAUACUCGAUUUAACAAUAUUCAAUAACUUGAAUGGCUUUGAGAGUCUAACAAAAGCAGCCUGUUCAAAAAUCACAAGCUACUUGAAGGAUAAUCCCAUGAUUUUUACGCCAGAAGAAAUAACCAGAUGUGCUAAAUAUUUAAAAAAUUGGCCCGGUUUUCUUGAGGUCAUGCAACCCAUGGUGUUGAACGAACUCAUGAAUUCCAGUCCUACUCAACGACAGAGUAUCAGUCCAUCCAGCAAGAUGUGGAAUGUUUUAUUAAACAUUUUCCUGGAUAAACUGUCGGAAAAAAAAUUUGACGAUACUCUCAAUAUCCUGAAGUGUUCGAGCUGGUUGGAUUCUUGUUUAGCCCAAUCGAAUAAGGAAGGCGUUUUUUACGGGGCUGAGAUAAAACGCGUAGCUGAAACCUUCGUAAAAGAACUUGAUUCGAAAUCAGACGUGGAUACCGUCAUAAUUUUCGAGAAUAUCAUUCAGUUGUGCAGACACAGCGAAUUCAAGAAUACAGAACUCAACAACGUUCUGUUAGAGUCUCUGCCUCGCAUCGGUUCCUCUUCCACAAAGUUAUCCAAGCAAAUUGUCGCUGCUUGCCAAUCUCUGGAUAUGGUUACAAGGAUAAAGUGUUUGAAUACACUCUGCGAAUUCGGUGAUACCGAAAAACGUAUUCCGUUGAUCAAAGCUUGCGUUCAAAGCGGCAGUAUCGAAUUGGCAGUUGCUGGUAUUCGUAAUCUCAUGUUCGCUGUGGGAAUUGGAAAAGGAUAUUCUCUGGGUUUGAUUCUGGAAAUACUGAGUCUGGCCGCAGGUUCGGGAAACGAAGAGCUGCGGCUCACAGCCUCAAAGUAUACGGGUGGACUGCUGUGCUUACUUUCUGGAUCUGGAAUAGUCACAAAAAUUUUUCGACAAGAAGACGCCGACGCCGCGUGGACGAUAAAUUGUGUAGAUUGCGACGAAUCGACCGUAUCUGAGCAUUCCGAGAGAAAAACUGUACCUCCCGAAGUUGAGAGAUUUCUGAUCUUACAGUUUCAAUUUUUUCCAAAGAUGUCCGCUAAUCAGCGUUUACUCGUAUCUCAUACUUUUCCCUCAUUCUCGAACCACACGAAGUUCUUCAAGAGCAACGCAGUUGCAAAAGUCUGGCUACCGUUCAUCAAGGAUGAAAAUCACAAAGUCCGGGCAAACGUUGGAAAAGCCAUCAUAUCUGUGAUCGAAGACAAGGUGAAAUCACAAAAACCGUCUCCAAAAAUAUCACAAGAUUUCAAAGAGUUUCAAGCAUUGGUACUCGAGACAUUGACGGUCGCGCUCGAAGCUGUUUUAGAAUCUCCAGAUCUCAAUUUACACAUUCUAAUAAUUGAAAUCGCUCAGAAAAUUGCCAGUUUCAGGGACCAUCUUCACCUCAUGGAACAAUCGAUGCUCAACAUAUUUCUACUGACAAUUCUCCACACGAAUUCGAAUUCCAUAGCCGUUUCAACGGCCGUUGCCGCUUUCCAAGAAAUUUCCGCCUGCAACGAAACGACGCCGAAGCUUUUAUACCAUCGCUAUAAAAAGGGGUUUUUGGACCUGAUGAUAGACGUGGCUGUUCGUAAUUGCGUCAAUCACGGCUACAAUUUAGCGAGCUCCUUUCACAGGGCCGCAAAAUGUGUUGGAUAUCAGGGCUCCCGUCAACUUUUGCACAAAGAUGCAAACUACGCUCUUUGCACCCUCAUCCCUUGGGUCGUGAGACACCCGCAAGUCAGGACUCUCUGCAGCGACAUGGCUGACCUAAUUACGAAAGACGAGAAGGACAUGUUCAUCGAGUACUUUCAGUACAUUUGUCCUCACGUGUUGCUCACCGAGGAUGAACAAAUUGCCAAGGAAUGUUUCCUUCUGGUGGAAAAUAUCACGAACAUCAGCGUCUGCGAUCUGAUGCGCAGAUCAUUUAUGGGUAUAUUCAGCGAAUUGAUGCUCCAUUUUCAUUUACGGAUGAUCGACGUUAUCAAUCAUCUAGAAGUCUUGUCCCAGUUCGACAUGGAAUACGAGGGGAAAUUCGACACGCGGGAAAACAUCGCAGCUUAUCUCAAACCAAGACUUCACGGAGUUCUGGUCAAUCUGGACAGCAAUCUCAGUGCAAGAUCUGAUCAAUCGGUCCAGCAGCUGGCCUUAGGAUCGCUGUCCGUUCUCAUGGAAUUCAUGGGACCGAUCCAUCUCACCCCUUUGCGAUUCAAAGUCCUCGGGACUCUGCGUACAUCCCUGAAUUUUAACAGACCUGGAUUUCAGCAAUUGAUUUGCGACGCCUGGGAUUCUUUUUUGCACAAUAUAUCGGUAGAAGACUUGGGUCCGUUGAUUCCAACGAUAUUCAUAUCGCUUGCAACACUUCUCGAACGUUGUCCCGAGGAGACGAGCGCUAUGAUGGAGUAUCUGGUGAUGAAAUGCGAGAAAGAAGCAACCGGAUUCAUAUCUGAACUAUUUUUUAUAGACGAUUUGAAUGUCCCCGAAAAAAUCGUUGCGGUCGUCAAACGCCACGUACGGGAAGCGCGGCCUCACAGUUUCGAGGAUAAUCUGAGCAUGUGGUUGAAACGGACUACGCACGAAACGCACGAAAUACGUUUGAAGGCUCUGAUUUAUAUGAAAAAAUUCUUGGCCGACUCCCGCAGUCCUCUGAACGAGAUGAUACUGAGCGGCAGCGUCGUUCAUCCGCUCAUUGUUCAGCUUCUCGACACUCUGUUGAUCGGCUGUAGAGACAAAGAUGAAAACGUUCGACUAGCCUCCGGAGAAUGCCUUGGAGAAUUGGGCGCUGUCGAACCAAGUCUCUUACCCCGAAGGAUACAGUCGAAAGAUGAUGCGAAUUUCAUAUUUGAAAUAAAUGUAGACUUCGCUUGCCUCGCUCUCACGUAUUUAGUUCGAGCAUUCCAGUCGCAGAAAAACACCCAGAGCAUGGGCUGUUUCGCUUUGGCUAUACAAGAAAUUCUAAAGACUUACAGUAUAUCUCCGGACGGUGAUAACAGAGAAUACUGGGAGCAGUUUCCGAAUACGGUUCAGCAAAUGAUACAUCCUUUCUUGAGCUCUCAUUACAAAAUCACCGCUAUCAAAGACGACAAUGAAUAUCCGCAUCCCAUCUACGGUUCUGAGGAGGGAUCCACGUUCGACAAGUGGUCUUACAACUGGAUGUGCAGUAUGUCCGACAGCGUUCACGAAUCGACGUUGAAAAAUAUGAUAGCAGCUUGCAGGCCAGCUUUCCGACGAGACGUCAAAACUCUGAUAUUAUUCAUCCCUUACGUCGUAUCACACAUUGUGGCCAACGGGAACCAGGAAGAAUGCGUAAAAAUAGGGGAGGAAAUGUUAGCUGUAAUAAAUGUCAGCGAGCAGACAUCCGUUGACAAGGAACUCCUCGACCGAAGACCGCUUCGCUAUCAAUCGGAAUCGACUACCCACAGCACCAGGAUCUCCGACGAGGACAAACGAAUUCAUUGUUCUCAGGUCGUUUUCUCGAUUCUCGAUCACUUGCAAAGAUGGUUACGAGAAAGGCGGUUGAACAAGGACCAAAAAUACCAGUUCAUAAAAUCUUUCUGCGAGACCUUCAACAGCCUGGCAUUGGCGAAAGGUUGUUACCGAACGCAAGAAUAUCACCGGGCGUUGAUGUACUUGGAGGAUCACAUGGUCUCCAGUAAUCAAGGACUCACAGAAUCCAUGGAAACUAGUUUACUCGCGAAAAUAUACGCCCAGCUCGAAGAGCCCGACGGCAUUUCGGGUAUCCUCGCGACUCAGGACGAAGUCCCGACUCUGCAGCAACUGGUACUGGCUCACGAAGUCAGCGGGCAACUGCAAGACGCUGCUACCUGCUACGAGAGAUUAGCUCAAGGUCAAAAGGUGAAACCAAAAUAUCUGCAAGGUAUGGUGCAGUGUUACAUCGGUCUCGAUCAUCCGUUCACCGCGACUAAUAUCACCGAGGGAAUUCUCAACAACAGGCCCGAAUUGGGACCCCUGAUAGCGGAUGAGGAGGUUUUCUGGCGCCUAUCGGAUUUUUCGCAGCUGGACGACAUGGCGAGAAACACGGCGAAGAAGUCGCUGCUGGACGGACUGGCGACCGGACAGCCGCCCGAUUUUCUACCGAUCAAAAGGAGGCUCGUCUCUCUCCUGGGGGCAGCCGCUCGACAAGGUGCCUACCAGCAAAGCUAUCCCCAAAUAAUGAAGUUGCACAUACUGAACGAAUUCGAAAAAGCCACUUCGAAAAUGCUCGUCGAUCCCGAACAACUGCCGGCAAUAUUCAAAGAGUGGGAAAUGCGGGGGGAACUCGUCAGAGCUUCGCGCGGCGUCGAGGCCGUUCUCAGUAUGCGGAGGGCGACCCUCGACCUAGCCGUUCAACUUCAACGGCAGACUACGGGUUGCGAAAAUUCGACCUUGAAACAGGAGAUCGGAAAGAUAUGGCUGAAAAGCGCGAAAAUAGCCAGGAAGUCGCGGUUGUACCAGCAGGCGUACAUGUACAUUUUGUCCGCGAGCGAGAACUGCCCCCCUCAAGAAUUGUACAUAGAACAGGCACAGUUGUACUGGCAAAAGGGAUGCCAGGAGGAAGCCUUCACCACCCUCAAGAGAUGCUUCGCCAAUUGUUUCCAACCCUCCGCUCAUUACAAACAGAUGCCUCCGGAUACCUGCGUGGAAGAGAGGAGACAGUGCGCCAGGGCCAAACUCCUGUACGCUAAAUAUAACGACGAAACGUUGAACGUUGACACGGAUGGGAAUAUUUGCAACUACAAAGAGGCCAUCGAGGUCUGGAGGGUAUGGGAAAAAAGUUUACUAUCUUGCGCUCGUUACUUCGAGUCGAUCGUCCACAGGAUGACCCACGACGACAGGGACACCAAGAGCGGAAGGGAUUUGCAAGUUCACAUGAUGAAUUAUUACGGCAAAUCGUUACAGUACGGGUGCAAAUACGUUCAUCAGUCGAUGCCUAGAAUGCUCACGAUUUGGCUGGAUUACGCGUCUCGUCUUCAAGCAGCGAGCGGUGAUACGAGGACUCGUCAGGAGACUCUUGUGAAAAUGACGAAGCUCGUUGAGGUGUACCUGGAAAGACUUCCCACGUUUAUGUGGUUAACGGCUUUCAGUCAAUUAGUAUCGAGGAUUUGUCAUCCGUGCCGUGAAGUGCAGAACACAUUGUGCUCGAUUUUGGUUAAACUGAUAUCCGCUUAUCCUCAACAUUGCUUGUGGAUGAUGGGCUCAGUUUUCAAGUCCUCUUAUCCCGUCAGGCAAAAACGAUGCCAGGAAAUCUUCAAUCACCCAACCCUGCAGUCCCCACAACACACUAAGUUGAUACAAGACUUGAACAGGCUUUGGGAGCGACUCAUAGAGCUGUCCAACAAAGCCAUACCUGAAGGAACCAAGACCACGAGCGUUUCAUCCCUUUCCAAGUACUUGCCGAGGUUGUUGGCGUCCUCGGAUUUCGGUGAAAUCAUGAUACCCACCACGAGAUUCAGGCAGCUUCAUCUACCUUCGAAAGUCACGCCGUCCGAUGCCCACGAUCCCUUUCCAACGCAAUGGGCCCAUAUCGUCGGCAUCGACGACAAGGUGGUAGUGAUGCCGUCGCUCCAAAGACCGCGAAGGAUAGCGCUACGCGGAUCGGACGGCAGGGAAUACCUGUUCAUGUGCAAACCGAAGGACGAUCUGCGACGCGACUUCAGACUCAUGGAGUUCAACGACAUCGUCAACAAGUACCUGCAAAAGGAUCCCGAGUCACGUCAGAGGCGACUCUACAUUCGCACAUACAGCGUCGUCCCGUUGAACGAGGAAUGCGGACUGAUUGAGUGGAUUCAUAACUUGGUCGGAUUUCGACCGAUACUUUUGGAAUUUUACAAAGAAAGGGGUACCUACAUGACCGCGCGAGAACUGAAAGCGAGGACGUGCGGAGCCCUUGGAGAAGAAGCGUCGAGUUUUCCUCGAGGUACUUUUGCCCCGGCAUCCCCCGGUGCUCGGCGAAUGGUUCCGUCUCACGUUCCCCGAUCCUUACGGAUGGUACGAGGCGCGAACGGCGUACAUCAGGACUACGGCGGUGAUGUCGAUGGUCGGCUACAUACUGGGCCUGGGCGAUCGUCACGGUGAGAACAUUCUGUUCGACUCGAAAUGCGGCGACUGCGUCCACGUGGAUUUCAACUGUUUGUUCAACAGGGGUGAAUUUUUCGACUGGCCGGAACGCGUUCCUUUCCGUCUGACGAACAACAUGGUCGAGGCCAUGGGGCCGUUGAAGUUCGAAGGACC
rnacentral:misc_RNA from 1 species